GGGAGUUUGACUAGGAGAAAAGUAACUCAUCAUCCUAAGGUGAUAUAACAUUGAUCUUGCCUGAAGAUGAUGUCUUUUAUAAUUACCUAAUUAUUUUAUCAAAUGGCUUGGCUAUUAAAAGCACAACAAUGUUUCUUAUUGACAUGGGAUCUGGAUUUAGGAGGUAGAGUGUUGCUAAUGGAAAGGAUGAUACUUUGGAGUUGGCUGGAAUCUGGGCUUCCUUUCUUUUUAGCCGUGAGUAUUCAGACAGAAGAGUUAAUCUUGCCCUAUCUCAUAGUUGCCAUCUUAAACAUAGGAGUCAUUCCUACUUCAUAGCUUUGUUUUAGGACAUGUAUAGAUCCUGGGACAAUAUUUGGCAUAAAGGGGAUGCUCAAUGUAUAUUAGCCCAGUUCUAGGGGUUGAGAUUCUUAGUUUACAUUAAUAUUCUUGACAGAUCUCUGAAAUUCUAGUGCUUUAAAAUUAUACUGCAGUGUCUGUGUGAUUUGUUGACUCACCUGAUUUUUUUUUUUGGCAUAGAUGAG
rnacentral:lncRNA from 1 species